UACAUCAUUUGACGCCGUCAAACCCACCCCCUCUAUCGCCUCUCUUCUAACUCACUUUAGUUUCCGGUGUUUCUCCUCGAUACAUCACAAUCGCCGCUCACUAAAAUGCUCGACCUCCUAACCUGGAUGAUUCCUUCUAACCUGGAUGAUCGAUGCCCUACAACUCUACUUUUCUUUACAUCUGUUUCUCUUCUCAAAACCCCAAUCGCACAUGUGUCUAAUGAAGAUCCAACUUUUGAAACCUUAUCUAGCCACUGCCAUUGCCACCCCUUCUCUUGCCCAUCCUCUACGUUCUGUUAUGAUGAGAAACCCUAACAGUCUCCACAACUCUAAUCGUCACCACCAGCGAAGAGGUGAGGACAAUGACAAUGCUAAGCCAUCAAUUUCUGAUUCAUCUAUUUCCUUCAUUCCUCAGUUGUUAUCGACAUUUACCUGACCUGGAGACACAAGGUUGGUGAAGAAGAAAACUUUUUUGCCAUCACCACUACCUCUGUAAAUGAGAUCAAUAUCUUAUUCUUUUUAUAUCUUUUCUACAUGAUUAGGAUUAUAUAUUUUAUGUAACAUUUCUUAUUAAUCAACUAUUGUUUUGGUUGAAUUGAAGAAGCCUGAAGAAACUCGCAUCCUGGAGGUUUAAUGUUUCUGAUUUGGUACCGUCACCAGAUUUACCUAUGUGUUAUUGAUUAUUGAUAUUCUCCAAACUCCAUUCGAGUAAAAAGAUAAUUAGUUCA